UGGACAGAUUAUUGUAUUCAACUGUAUUCGACUGUAUUCACGGCGUAAAAUAAGGGAUUACAUUGUUUUUAAAACGGAAAGUAAAUCAAUUAACAUAAUAGACUCCU
rnacentral:pre_miRNA from 1 species